CUAGCCAUUUGUUUCUUCUGCCGCCAAAACAUUUGACACUGUUCUUCUAAUUCCUUCAUCUUCUAAUAGCUAGAAGCGUCAUUUCUAUUUCAACUUUUGUUGGUGUUUUCACAUGCUUUGGAGGUUUCACACCCAGUCUAGGAUUAGUCUUUUGUUUCGUCAUCAAUACAAAACCAAAAUAGAAACAAAAAAAAAGUUGGUGUUCCCCGUGUCGAUUAUUGUUCUUCCGCGUAUAAAAAGUAGUCUUUGUUCCUAGUGAUUAACACAAAAAAACGAAAAACAAAUAUGUGCAUCUUCCACCUUUAACCCCUUUUUCUAGUCAUCCCAAGAGAAGAAAAUAAAUCCAUUUGUUGUUUCCCAGUUCAUUGUUGUCCUUUCACAUAUACAAAAUAUUCUUUGUUUCUAGUGAUCAAUACAAAAAUAAAUUGAUUGCAUGCUCCACUUCACCAUUGCUGUUCCACAUUUAAAAUAUUCUUUGUUUCUACAAUCCCGUUUCCUAGUGAUAAACAUUGAAAAAAUAAUAUCAUUUGUGUUUCCCUUUACCAUUGUUUUUUCAGAUCUGCAACUACUCCUUUUAUACAGCUCUAGCUUUCGAUUGAUAAAAAAAUACGAGAAAAAGUCAUUGGCUUCCCAUCAUUGCGAUUGUGUUAUUCUCUUAUCCAGACUUUGUUCUCUUUUCUCUGGAUAAAUACUGAAAAAACCAAACAAACGAAAAAAAAUCAUUGGUUUCACCCCUUUGUUGUUUUUCCACAUUUAUCAUUGCUCCACCAGAAACACCAAAAGAUUGUUGGCUUGCCCACUACUAAGAUAUUUCAAAUAAAUCUGGUUGAUCAGACCAUUUCUUGACAUCCAUAUUAUGGUGCCUAAUUCAACCACCAGGACCAUACAAGGAAGCUAGCCUACAACUUUUAAGCAGAAACAUGGAAAAUUAAUAUUUGUACUAUACAAAGUUAUUCCCAGUUUAGGUUUCUUAGCUACUAAGAGGUACCAAUUCCAACAAACAUAUCAAAAGGAUCGCUGACUUUUCCCACUAUUGAGAGUUUUUCAAGUAAAUCAAGUUGAUCAGAUCGAUCAUCUCUUGACAUUCAUACUAUGGACAUACAUCGCCACAUUCUACCAACAGUUUAAGUGCAAGGAAAUUAGGUGCAGCUGUCAAGACAAGUAAAAGAGAAUUAAUAUUUAUUUGGCAGCCUUCAGUUUAAGUGUUGCCAAAUAUUGAUUCUUGGUGAUCUAAGAUCCUGCAUGUGACAAGUUAUUCCCGGUCCAAAGCUUCUCAGAAGGCCAGCCCAAAGCUGAGAGGUCAAUUUGUGCAAACUAGCAAGUUUGGUACACUACUGAACAUAAGUCAUGGCAUCAUCUUCAUGGGAAAAAUGGCCCGAUGAUGUGCGUGAUAAAUGGCGUGAUGAUCUGAGAGAUAUGGAUUUUUGGUCACAGGCACUCAAAUAAAAUAGUUUCCGCAGACGAUAUUUGGAGAAAUGCUGAAGCUACAAUCACUCAAGCUCAUUGACAAUAAACAUUUGAUUUCACUCACAAAAACAUUGUGUAGGAUCCAGGGUAUCAAAUUGGAAGGGCAUCCUGGCCUUAUAUCCUUCGUGUUGAUCGGUGCACCUCGCAUAAGGCGCUUGUCUUUGCGUGGAUGUAGAAAACUAGUUUGUUGAGAUCAAGAAUCUUGGUGCUUUGGAGGAGCUAGACUUGUCUGGUACAGCUAUCAAGGAUGUCCCAGCAGACAUCCCUAAUAAUCCCCAUCUUUGGAGAUUACUCCUUCAGGGUGUUCCUUCCCUGAGGCGAUUUCCUUGCCAUAGGCUGGAGCGAGUCCCAGAUAUGUUUUACUUGGAUCAUUGUUCAAA